UAUGAUGAUUGAUUAUAUGUUUCAAACACGUCAAAAAAAAAUAUAUUAUAUGUUUCCAAGUGCACUACACCCGUCCAUUUAGUUGGUGGGAUGUCCAUGUCAUGACUGAUUUAAUAUAUAAUGUGAUUGAUUAUAUAUUUUGAACAUUAUUUUAAUUUAUUUUUUUGACAAAACAUUAUUUUAAUAUUUUGAUGGUGGGAUGUCCAUGUCAUGACUGAUUUAAUAUCCGAUAUUUUGGUUUUAUCCACUUUAAAUAUUUAAUUUAUCGAUUUUCAUACAAUAAAACUUGUAUAUUUAAAUAUUUAACUUAGUUGGUAGGAACAUUGCACUAUAUAC
rnacentral:lncRNA from 1 species